CUACGGGAGGCAGCAGUAGGGAAUCUUGCGCAAUGGGCGAAAGCCUGACGCAGCAAUGCCGCGUGCGGGACGAAGGCCCUAGGGUCGUAAACCGCUUUCAGUAGGGACGAAAAUGACGGUACCUGCAGAAGAAGCUCCAGCCAACUACGUGCCAGCAGCCGCGGUGAUACGUAGGGAGCAAGCGUUGUCCGGAAUUACUGGGCGUAAAGGGCUCGUAGGUGGUUGAGUAAGUCAGAUGUGAAAUCUCAGGGCCCAACCCUGAGCCUGCAUUUGAUACUGCUCUGACUAGAGUCCGGUAGGGGAGCGUGGAACUCCUGGUGUAGCGGUGAAAUGCGCAGAUAUCAGGAAGAACACCGACAGCGAAGGCAGCGCUCUGGGCCGGUACUGACACUGAGGAGCGAAAGCAUGGGUAGCAAACGGGAUUAGAUACCCCGGUAGUCC
rnacentral:rRNA from 1 species